rnacentral:rRNA from 1 species
GACGAACGCUGGCGGCGUGCUUAACACAUGCAAGUCGAACGGAAAGGCCCUGCUUUUGUGGUGUGCUCGAGUGGCGAACGGGUGAGUAACACGUGAGUAACCUGCCCUUGACUUUGGGAUAACUUCAGGAAACUGGGGCUAAUACCGGAUAGGAGCUCCUGCUGCAUGGUGGGGGUUGGAAAGUUUCGGCGGGUGGGGAUGGACUCGCGGCUUAUCAGCUUGUUGGUUGGGUAGUGGCUUACCAAGGCUUUGACGGGUAGCCGGCCUGGGAGGGUGACCGGCCACAUUGGGACUGAGAUACGGCCCAGACUCCUACGGGAGGCAGCAGUGGGGAAUAUUGCACAAUGGGCGGAAGCCUGAUGCAGCAACGCCGCGUGCGGGAUGACGGCCUUCGGGUUGUAAACCGCUUUCGCCUGUGACGACGCGUGAGUGACGGUAAUGGGUAAAGAAGCACCGGCUAACUACGUG